rnacentral:rRNA from 2 species
GUAGGUGAACCUGCAGAAGGAUCACUA